UCAUAUGCUUGUCUCAAAGAUUAAGCCAUGCAUGUCUAAGUACAUACCGCAUUAAGGUGAAAACCGCGAAAGGCUCAUUAAAUCAGUUAUGGUUCCUUAGAUCGUACCAAUCCUACUUGGAUAACUGUGGUAAUUCUAGAGCUAAUACAUGCCGAUAACGCUCUGACCACUCGCCCGGGACGAGCGCUUUUAUUAGAACAAGACCAAUACGGGCCACUCGAAACCGCGGGUCAAACCGCGGCGUAGAACCCGUCCAAAACUUGGUGACUCUGGAUAACUUUGAGCUGAUCGCACGGUCCUCGAACCGGCGACGCAUCUUUCAAAUGUCUGACUUAUCAACUGUCGAUGGUAGGUUAUGUGCCUACCAUGGUUAUAACGGGUAACGGAGAAUCAGGGUUCGAUUCCGGAGAGGGAGCCUGAGAAACGGCUACCACAUCCAAGGAAGGCAGCAGGCACGCAAAUUACCCACUCCCGGCACGGGGAGGUAGUGACGAAAAAUAACAAUACGAGACUCUUCCGAGGCCUCGUAAUUGGAAUGAGCACAUUUUAAAACCUUUAGCGAGGAUCUAUUGGAGGGCAAGUCUGGUGCCAGCAGCCGCGGUAAUUCCAGCUCCAAUAGCGUAUAUUAAAGUUGUUGCGGUUAAAAAGCUCGUAGUUGGAUCUCGGUGCCGGACCGACGGUCCGCCCUUCGCUUGGCGGUACACUGUUGGCCCCGGAGCCAUUAACCCCGCCGGCCUUUGUCCCUCGAUGCUCUUCACCGAGUGUCGUGCGGAGACCGGAACGUUUACUUUGAACAAAUUAGAGUGCUCAAGGCAGGCGCAGUCCCCGCCCGUAUAGCCCAGCAUGGAAUAAUGGAAUAAGACCUCGGUUCUAUUUUGUUGGUUUUCGGAACACGAGGUAAUGAUUAAUAGGGACUGACGGGGGCAUUCGUAUUGCGGCGCUAGAGGUGAAAUUCUUGGACCGUCGCAAGACGAACUACUGCGAAAGCAUUUGCCAAGAAUGUUUUCAUUGAUCAAGAACGAAAGUUAGAGGUUCGAAGGCGAUCAGAUACCGCCCUAGUUCUAACCAUAAACGAUGCCAACCAGCGAUCCGCCGGAGUUCCUCCGAUGACUCGGCGGGCAGUUUCCCGGGAAACCACAAGUUUUUGGGUUCCGGGGGAAGUAUGGUUGCAAAGCUGAAACUUAAAGGAAUUGACGGAAGGGCACCACCAGGAGUGGAGCCUGCGGCUUAAUUUGACUCAACACGGGAAAUCUCACCCGGCCCGGACACUGGAAGGAUUGACAGAUUGAGAGCUCUUUCUUGAUUCGGUGGAUGGUGGUGCAUGGCCGUUCUUAGUUGGUGGAUUUUUGAUCUGUCUGGUUGAUUCCGAUAACGAACGAGACUCUAGCCUGCUAAAUAGCUGGCCCAUACCAUCGGUGCGCCGUUACCGUGCCUUCGCGAACCGCGGUUCGGUGCCGUGUAGUUCUUUCGCUCUGAUCCGUUGCCGUCGCGCUGGCCGUAGUCUUUACCACGUGGGUUCGCGCUUGCGUGGGACUGGCGAAAGUCGUGCGGUGGUUUUCGGUGACGGGCGUUGCUGCGCGAGUCAUCCCGUGGGGAUGUUGGUGCGAGUCGGCCUCCGGAGUGGGUAAAAUGCUUCUUAGAGGGACAAGCGGCGUAUAGCCGCGCGAGAUUGAGCAAUAACAGGUCUGUGAUGCCCUUAGAUGUCCGGGGCCGCACGCGCGCUACAAUGGAAACUCGAACAGGUCCCCUGCCCUAGUUCGAGAGGACUGGGUAACCCUGUGAAUUGUUUUCAUGGUUGGGAUCGGGGCUUGAAACCAACCCCGUGAACUAGGAAUUCCCAGUAGGCGCGAGUCAUCAACUCGCGCCGAUUACGUCCCUGCCCUUUGUACACACCGCCCGUCGCUACUACCGAUUGGAUGGUGUAGCAAGGUAUUUGGAUUGACAUUUCUGGUGGCACUCGUGGUUGCUAGAUUCGUUGGAAAGAUACCCAAACUAUACCAUCUAGAGGAAGUAAAAGUCGUAACAAGGUUUCC
rnacentral:rRNA from 1 species